GACGAACGCUGGCGGCGUGCUUAACACAUGCAAGUCGAACGGAAAGGCCCUGCUUUUGUGGGGUGCUCGAGUGGCGAACGGGUGAGUAACACGUGAGUAACCUGCCCUUGACUUUGGGAUAACUUCAGGAAACUGGGGCUAAUACCGGAUAGGAGCUCCUGCUGCAUGGUGGGGGUUGGAAAGAUUCGGCGGUUGGGGAUGGACUCGCAGCUUAUCAGCUUGUUGGUGGGGUAGUGGCUUACCAAGGCUUUGACGGGUAGCCGGCCUGAGAGGGUGACCGGCCACAUUGGGACUGAGAUACGGCCCAGACUCCUACGGGAGGCAGCAGUGGAGAAUAUUGCACAAUGGGCCGAAGCCUGAUGCAGCAACGCCGCGUGCGGGAUGACGGCCUUCGGGUUGUAAACCGCUUUCGCCUGUAACGAAGCGUGAGUGACGGUAAUGGGUAAAAAAGCACCGGCUAACUACGUG
rnacentral:rRNA from 1 species